UAGAGUUUGAUCAUGGCUCAGAUUGAACGCUGGCGGCAGGCCUAACACAUGCAAGUCGAGCGGAAACGAGAAUAGCUUGCUAUUCGGCGUCGAGCGGCGGACGGGUGAGUAAUGCCUGGGAAAUUGCCCUGAUGUGGGGGAUAACCAUUGGAAACGAUGGCUGAUACCGCAUAAUAGCUUCGGCUUAAAGAGGGGGACCUUCGGGCCUCUCGCUUCAGGAUAUGCCCAGGUGGGAUUAGCUAGUUGGUGAGGUAAAGGCUCACCAAGGCGACGAUCCCUAGCUGGUCUGGGAGGAUGAUCAGCCACACUGGAACUGAGACACGGUCCAGACUCCUACGGGAGGCAGCAGUGGGGAAUAUUGCACAAUGGGCGCAAGCCUGAUGCAGCCAUGCCGCGUGUAUGAAGAAGGCCUUCGGGUUGUAAAGUACUUUCAGCAGUGAGGAAGGGUAUGUAGUUAAUAGCUGCAUACUUUGACGUUAGCUGCAGAAGAAGCACCGGCUAACUCCGUGCCAGCAGCCGCGGUAAUACGGAGGGUGCGAGCGUUAAUCGGAAUUACUGGGCGUAAAGCGCAUGCAGGUGGUUUGUUAAGUCAGAUGUGAAAGCCCGGGGCUCAACCUCGGAACCGCAUUUGAAACUGGCAGGCUAGAGUACUGUAGAGGGGGGUAGAAUUUCA
rnacentral:rRNA from 1 species